CCUACGGGAGGCUGCAGUGAGGAAUAUUGGUCAAUGGGCGCGAGCCUGAACCAGCCAAGUCGCGUGAAGGAUGACUGCCCUACGGGUUGUAAACUUCUUUUAUAAAGGAGUAAAGUGAGGCACGUGUGCCUUUUUGUCUGUACUUUAUGAAUAAAGAUCGGCUAACUCCGUGACAGCAGCCGCGGUAAUACGGAGGAUCCGAGCGUUAUCCGGAUUUAUUGGGUUUAAAGGGAGCGUAGAUGGGUUGUUAAGUCAGAUGUGAAAGUUUGCGGCUCAACCGGAAAAUGGCAAUUGAUACUGGCAGACUUGAGUACAGAUGAGGAAGGCGGAAUUCGUGGUGUAGCGGUGAAAUGCUUAGAUAUAACGAAGAACUCCGAUUGCGAAGGCAGCCUACUAAACUGUCACUGACAUUGAUGCUCGAAAGUGUGGGUAUCAAACAGGAUUAGAUACCCCAGUAGUC
rnacentral:rRNA from 1 species